rnacentral:rRNA from 1 species
UGGCGGAGGUAGGAGGGCACGAGGUGGGGCUCGCACGAGCCCGAGGCGGAGGAGGAGGAGGAGGAGGUGGUAGGGAAGAGAAGAGUGAGAAGGAGGAUAGCGUCGACGGAGGAGAAGAGGGAGAGAGGGAGGAGGAGCGGGGUGCACUGGGGAGAGCGCGGCGAGCAGAGGUGGAGUAUAGGUCUUAGAAGCGACGGCGGUAUCUGGCUCCUCCUGCCGCGCUACUGCUGGUACUACGUGGCCUGUAGGGUCUAGCUGCUGCGGUACCUUCGGUACUCUCGACCGGCUCCUUUUCCCCCUUCCCGGUGUACGGUACUUCCCGUGCCGCCGACACCCGCCUUCGUCGUACCCAACUUCCUCGUCGCCUACACCCGCCCCAGCCUCCAACCCCCUCUGAGCAGCCGACCCGCUGUCGCUCGCGGCCACUCACGUUCGUACACAGAGGUCUUCGCAGGAGAGGAUGUUCCGUCCGUUCCGGCUGCAGCAGCGGGAGCGUCCAAGAUGCUAGACAACGUAGGGACAAGAGCAAUUCCAAUCGACGAGAUAAAGGAUCCAUGUGCACAUAAUAGCAAAUACACCCACGAUAGUACCACGAACCAGACGACUAGUAAAAUUACAAGACCUAGACACCACACCGACGUAUCUCCCCUCCGCCGGUUACUGUCCCUCUUCCUAGUCCGGCAGCUCCUCACGUUCGUCUUCUUAUUUAUCGUGCCUCUUGUAUAGUCACGAGAUACACACAGAUUCCCUAGGUUCUCUACGUCGGUAUCUGUCACUGACCAGGGACUUCAAACCCUGCAAUUUCUAUUUUCGUUCGUCAAAAGUCUUUGAAAAUCAACACCGAGUACCCAACCUCGUUGACCCUUUGGUAACUGUUUACGCCAGAGUCAACCUCAACCACCAUCGAAGGAACCUGGAGACAAACACGUACGUCGAGAGGUCUAACUGGGCUUUCGUCGUCUCAGACGGUUUUCGACCGUUGACUCUAACAUUCGCACAUGAAUCCCAUACAAAGAUAUAAAGAAAACGACUGUGGAUAAUGUACAAGAAGAGCGUGAAGGAUACCUACUAGUUUUUAUAAUUUACACUCACUCAUCUCCGAAGGAAAAACAGAAAGACGUGGUAAGUACGUUGGGAUUGGUCCUUAAGAAAGUAAUAACCUCAGAAAGUAACAUAUAUAUUGAUAAAUAACUACGUUCCACCCUCUUCCUCCACCGAUCGGAAAUAACACAAAACCACGCCACGAGAGGAUAAAUUACCAUCUAUACUACAUAUCCAAGUUCGUACACUACAAAGAAAGUCACGUAUAAACACGAAAUACUACAAACUACGUGUGUAUCAACUUGGAGAAUGAGGUACAUUAUGAAACGGUUUCUUCUUAAAUAAUUACAACCACAAAAAAGAGAAAAGUCUAAAAUCGGACCCACGUAUUUGUAUGUACGGUGUGUAAUACAAGUUUAAAGUCACGUUCCAAUUUGACCCCUAUUUAGUAAUACCUUCCCUUUACUUACUUAUUGUUUGAUAUAUCUAAAUAAUAGUAUAGUAAAUAAAAACUAACGUACUAGAAUUAAUAGUAGAGACCUUUAUAAAAUCCGAGAACGAGAACCUUCUAAUCUGACUCCACCACAACGAAAUACUUAUUUACCGCACGAUUGAAUGACCAAACUAAAUCCACACAUCCGUCUCCUUUGUUUUCUUACUAUUAGGGUCCAAAUCCGUACGUGUACCAGUGACUAGUGUUUCAUCCAUCCUUGUACACGUCAUAACACUAAAAGUCGUUCUCUUUCUCUUUGUAUCAAUUAACAUACCUAAAAUUCGAUGUGAUACGCUACAACGAGAUAAUAUUUCCGGAACGAAUUGACGAACCAAACGUUGUACAUAACGUAAAGGUCCCUAAUAGGAAAACGAAUAAAUCAUAAAGGAUACAAGAGACUUCUAAUUAAAACCGGGUAUGUCAAAGGCCACUGACCUUCAGACUUUGACUUCUGUCCCGUAUAACAAAACCAAUACUCACCAGCCUCUAUAACACCGAACUACAGGGAUCUCGUCAGUAUGGGAAGGUUCUAUCCACUCGGACUAAAGAAGACGUUAAGAAGGUGGUGUCAUGUACUUUUCCUUAUACAAGAUGGAUAACCGUGGUAAAGAACACCUCCUAACCACGAAGGGGAAAUAAAACAGUGUGAACCCACAGGAACUCAAGUCUUAUCUAAGUGGAAACAAGACUAAGACGCGUGUGCAGCUCGCUGCCGUUCGUGUAGUCUGCCGUUGUGUGCUUCCACUACACUUCCGAUCGAUGACACUAGUUCCUUUAUUGUACAUAGACACACCAAACAAGGACGAUAACUAGCCGGUAACGAGCAAAUUCCAUACAACACGGGCAACGAUGAAUUACGAUAUAUUUUGGAUAUCGACAUGUAUUUUGCGGAACUAUACGUUUAUUGGGUCAAUUUUAUUUACCCAACGCGGUAGAUCGUAAUGUACUGCUGUACGGUUUGUGAAACGGUGUAUCCUAUCAGAUAUAAACAUAAAGUAAGUCAAUAGAGUAUAAAGGUCAUUUUUUUAAGAAGCGAAACCCCAAAACCUUAUUAGAAGUCCUUCAACCACUGCUCAAUCAUCUUGAAUACCUUUACAGCUAUGACAUCGAGUUUCACAUUCUAUAAAAUACAGGAAGAUACGUAAAUAACUAUGACAUCGGACAACCGACUGACAGGGAAUGAAUAGGUCUUUGUGACUCAACACGAUGAAUGGGUUGGUAUACAAUUUAUAAAGUUUUACGCAGAAAUAUAACAGUAACAUAGCAUUAACGAAGAGGACUACACAAAAACAAAAUGUGGUCGUAUAUAAAUCAGGUCACUAUAAGUUAACAAACAGACUAUUCUAUUAUAAAAUGUAGAAAUACCUCGUGAGAAUACCGUUCGUGUAAAAAAGACUUACUUGACGACCAAACAAAAAAAGAGGUAUUUAUGCUAUUUAAUAGUAUAGUAUACUUUACAAUUCUAUAUGACUUUUAUACGGGACAUACUACCACCAGACCGUAAAAUCUUAACAAAACCCGUUACGUACAGACAUACGUAAAAAAGAAAACCGGGAACUUCCGAAGGUACCAUGCGUAGUGUAGAAAUUAUCAAACGUUAACGCUAUUUUUAACAACACGAGCAUAGAAAUCAAAAACAAUGUGCACCUCUAUUACGGUGUUGAGAAGGACCUUAAUAUGACAGUUGAAUACGACUUAAAAAAUAAACAUACAUCCGGUGUUCACUAUUAACGAUGUAGAUAAUACAAGACAGUGGCAAAAAUGGAAGCAGUUAGAGUACGUUUUUUACUAUCUGCUCAUUCACAAUCGGUUACUGAUUGAUAUCAGGUUUAAAAUUUAUAAACAACUUCACAUCGAAGAUUGAAAUAUUGUACAUCUAUGAAAUAAACUCAAAUAUUAUAGGACAAAAAACGGAGUAUCAAAUCAAAUAUAUUUUUAUUGUUUAUCAAAGAUAGAGGUACCAAAAGGUCAAACCACUAACAAGAGAGGUAUAUCUCCGUAAUUAUCGAUUAUUAUGUGAAACAUGAAGAGGUCAGGUUAUCUUCAACCGCGACUUCGAUCGUUGUCUGAGACAUCUACAGUUUUGUUGAACAUGAAAACACUUGACGUGCCCCACCAAUAUUUGUCAUCCAUAAAAGAUACUCCUAUUCUACGUGUCUACAUGUAGGAGAACCACACUACACCCCUAAAAUCAAAUCUUCUCGGACUCUGGAACAAUGAUUUAUCGUCAAGUGUCCACCCGUGUGGUAAGCUAGUUAAUACGCCCCAACUCCCAAAUAGUACUUAUAAAACCGACCAUGUCGAGAGUUUGUGUGUCGUCUCAACUAAAUCCGGGUCAAUGAGAAUUUAAUAACUUGCACUUUCGUAAACUUUUAGUGGGAUAGGUACUUCAUCAUGGUUCGCACAAAUGACUUUAUCCUCACGUACACUAAAGAACACAAGAAUAGACGUCGUCGUCACCAUUACCACACUAAAAGGAGAUAUACAGAACUAUCUUAUAAUCAUAAGAUAUGAUAAACAAUACGUCAAUAAGAAUAAAAAAAGUACCGCUUACCCGUUUACUUCAGACUUAGAUUGUAGAUAUAUCUGUUAGCGAUGACAAACGUACAAGAACCGACCUUUUCAGCUUCUUUGUGGGUCCGGAAACUUCCUACAGUAGGACCAAAGAAUACUCGAAUAAGUAUUUUUCCUAGGACGACGACCAGUCUUUUAGUUCGUCUCCCAUUACAUUACCUAGGUUAACCUACGAAGAAAACGAUACCUAACAAGAAACCACUUGGAAAAAGGGAAAUGUUUUCAACAUCGUACAGGUACUGGAUUAAAGUGGGAUAUUUAGAACAACAAGAGUAUGUUAUUGUCUUUUAUUGAAGUCUUUAUAUCGGUUAUCUUCCGACCGAUAAAGAUAGUCUUAGGAUUGGAAAAGAGUAGUCAUAUAGUAAAUAAAACCUUAACAAAACUAACGUAGUAGUAGACGACUUUUCAAAUGCUCUGACUAUUACUAGAUCUUAUUUUGAUAUAAGAUUGGAUGCUCCUCCGACCCGUGCAGAAGAUUGGGCGUUGUCUGACAUAUCCGUCGCCCUCGCGGCCAGGUCUGGUACCUGCGUCGAACCAGCUCGAUAUUGCUCACGUAGAUUAAGGUUGAGUAGUUCCACUCGAGGGAGAAAAUAAGAAGAGUCCGUUACUCCGCAGUAACAUCCGGGUUAGAAAAACAAACAACGAAACUUCUCACGACAGUACAACACCUUUCCGUUGUACACGAACUAUACACCUCAACCACAACUCGGACCGCCAUCAUCUGUACCUUCCGUGGGUAGAGUGAACUAGAACUCUCAACUAAGUAUAGAAAAAAAGAACUGGACUAACUCAAGGACAUAUACGUUCCUAUUUCUUAUUCCCCGUAACAGCACCAACAACGUCUUCCACAACCAGUCCUCGACUAACGGCCCUGACUACUGUUCUUACCUCUCGUCCUACUCAUACAGUUGUACGACAAGGAACUGCAACCGGAAGAAAAUAUUUCAAGUGUACGUUGAGAGGAGGUACCAAUCUUUUUUUGAUUAAAUUUGUAAAACAAAGAAACUACCAAUAAGUAAAGAGAAUGGCAACAACAUAGUUUUGUUAACAUAAACAACUACCGGUGAACCCGAGUAAAAGCUCCUCUUACUCUACACCUUAUUUGAUGAGACUUUACCAACCAAGGGAAGUCUGUCAAAUAAUCGAUUGAUUAAAACCGACAACAACGUGUACUAUGUCGACACGAGACAACAACGGUAGAACGUAAAAUACACUCGAAUUUGUCUGUUAGUUAAUUUUAAAAUGAUUCAAGGAUAUCAUACAUAAACGAGUUUGUGUCAAUGACUUUUUUACGUUUAUAAAAAUCGUUCACGUACCAAAAUUUACCCUGAGCCACGGUAAAUCGCGUUACCCGUCACAAUAUGUUUAUAUUUAAAAACCACGUUAACAAUAUGUGAAAAACAAGUUUGAACCUAAAGUGUUACACUAUCUGUAAAAGUUUUCUCAUACCAAAUUAUAUACCCGAAAGAUGUUGCUCAUGAUUUAUACAGGAACGUUUUACUUUGAUAAAAGUACCUGUUGUACCGAAAUCACCCAGAAACGUGGUAAACCGUGUUGCCUAUUCUUUAGCGUGACCAGCCGCCGACUCCUUUGCGGAGACAGUGGGUCGACUCAUCGGCUCUUUCUUUCCUUCCCCUAUCUUUCAGAAGCGACCUAGACGGGGGACAGCGAAGUAUAAGUUGAGGACUGCCCGGUGUCCGUAGUGCGAUGCACCCGACCCGAUUUAUUGUAUACCCGAUAGGAUUAUGGAGGACUAGGUAUACAGAGGCAUAUACGUGUUGUUUCUGUACAAAAAAGAAUCCAAAGAAUAGGAAAAGGGAGAAAAAAACGUCCAUACCCGAUAGGAUUAUGGAGGAUUAGGGAUAUAGAGGCAUAUACGUGUUGUGUAUGUACAAAAAAGAAUCCAAAGAAUAGAAAAAGGGAAAAAAAAACGUCCUUUUUCUACGUGCCGGUCCAAAGAGUAGCACUAUUGGUACAAAAGUUUGAACGAUUUUUUUAUGUUGGUACGGUUGAAAUGAGAGAGUAGUAUCACCGGUAUAAAAGUUUGAUUUGUAUAAGUAUAAUACGUUUCAAAGGGAAAAGGGUCUGAUAAUAAAUUGUUGCAUUAUUUGUACAAAUUUUUUAUCGUACUAAAUCAACUUCCAAGAACAUCGUACUUUGAUAAAAAUAGCCGUAGUACAGAAUUCGUCCAGAGACGCGGUAAACCGCGUUGUCCAGUUGAUCAAAGUGUAUUUAAGGUUCGUAUCAUAACGUUUGCUACUUAAACUAGGUC